rnacentral:rRNA from 1 species
UACGUAGGUGGCAAGCGUUGUCCGGAUUUAUUGGGCGUAAAGCGAGCGCAGGCGGUUCUUUAAGUUUGAUGUGAAAGCCCUCGGCUCAACCGAGGAAGGUCAUUGGAAACUGGGGAACUUGAGUGCAGAAGAGGAGAGUGGAAUUCCAUGUGUAGCGGUGAAAUGCGUAGAUAUAUGGAGGAACACCAGUGGCGAAGGCGACUCUCUGGUCUGUAACUGACGCUGAGGCUCGAAAGCGUGGGGAGCAAACAGG